CAGUGAGUGCCACAUGCACUAUACACAGCAGCAGUGAGUGUCACAUGCACUACAGCAGUGAGUGCCACAUGCACUAUACACAGCAGCAGUGAGUGCCACAUGCACUAUACACAGCAGCAGUGAGUGCCACAUGCACUAUACACAGCAGCAGUGAGUGCCACAUGCACUAUACACAGCAGCAGUGAGUGCCACAUGCACUAUACACAGCAGCAGUGAGUGCCACAUGCACUAUACACAGCAGCAGUGAGUGCCACAUGCACUAGCCAGCAGCAGUGACAGUAACAGUGCCACAUACACUAUACACAGCAGCAGUAACAGUGCCACAUACACUAUACACAGCAGCAG